rnacentral:rRNA from 1 species
CACGUAGGGCGCAAGCGUUGUCCGGAAUUAUUGGGCGUAAAGAGCUCGUAGGCGGUCUGUUACGUCUGCUGUGAAAACCCCAGGGCUUAACCCUGGGCUUGCAGUGGAUACGGGCAGACUAGAGGCAGGUAGGGGGAGAAUGGAAUUCCCGGUGUAGCGGUGAAAUGCGCAGAUAUCGGGAGGAACACCGGUGGCGAAGGCGGUUCUCUGGGCCUGACCUGACGCUGAGGAGCGAAAGCGUGGGGAGCGAACAGG